GGUAUAUGCCUACCUUGCAAGGUCCUCAUGCCCGUCAGACAGUUUUCACUUGACCUCGACCUCAUUUCAUGGAUCAGUGAACAAGGUUAAGUUUUGGUGGUCAAGUCCAUAUCUCAGAUACUAUAAGCAAUAGGUCAAGUAUAUUCGGUGUAUGGAAGGACUGUAAGGUGUACAUGUCCAACUGGCAGGUGUCAUCUGACCUUGACCUCAUUUUCAUGGUUCAGUGGUUAUAGUUAAGUUUUUGUGUUUUGGUCUGUUUUUCUUAUACUGUAUGCAAUAGGUCUACUAUAUUUGGUGUAUGGAAUGAUUGUAAGGUGUACAUGUCUAGCUGACAGGUGUCAUUUGACCUUGACCUCAUUUUCAUGGUUCAGUGGUCAAAGUUAAGAUUUUGAGUUUUGGUCUUUUUUUCUAAUACUAUAUGCAAUAGGUCAACUAUAUUUGUUGUAUGGAAGAAUUGUUAGCUGUACAUGCCUGCCUGGCAUGGUUCAUCUGACCUUGACCUCAUUUUCAUGGUUCGUUGGUCAAUGUUUAGUUUUCUUGGUUAAUGUUAAGUUUAUGUGACAGUUGUAAUAAAGCUUUAUAUUUAGGACUAUCAACAUAAUAUCAAUGAUUAGUAAAGAAGGCGAGACAUUUAA